AUCCAUUCAUCCAUGUACUUACCAUCAUUUGACCAUUUCAAACACACAUAAAGUAUAUUAAGACUAUUUACACAUCAAAAUAUACCAAACAUAGCCCUUUAAAUGGCUAUUUACAACCAAAAUAUGUAUAUGUCAUCAAUGACCAAGUUAACCUAUACAUGCCAUUAUAACCAAAAUUAGUUUCAUGCCUGUACCGAAAAUGGGUCGGUGGGUAGUGUGAGUGAUCUCUACCAAGCUUCCAACCCGAUGAGCCUCCGAGAACUAUAAAACAGAGGAAAUACAACUGAAUAAACACUUAGUGCUUAGUAAGUUCAUAUAAAACAGAGGAUCAAGAUAACAUAUUUUACCAAAUAUGCUAUCUUGAUCCAUUCAUCCAUGUACUUACCAUCAUUUGACCAUUUCAAACACACAUAAAGUAUAUUAAGACUAUUUACACAUCAAAACAUACCAAACAUAGCCCUUUAAAUAGCUAUUUACAACCAAAACAUGUAUGUGUCAUCAAUGGCUAAGUUAACCUAUACAUGUCAUUAUAACCAAAAUUAGUUUCAUAUUUGUAUAAAAAAUGGGCCGGUGGAUCGUGUGAGUGAUCUUUGCCAAGCUUCCAACCCAAUGAGCCUCCGAGAUUUAUAAAAUAGAGGAAAUACAACUGAAUAAGCACUUGAUGCUUAGUAAGCCCGUAUAAUGGAAAAUUUACUUAUCAUUUAUUUACAUUUAUAGUAAACAUACAAGAACACAUCCAAAGCAAUUUAGCCAUUAGCCUAACACACAUAACCUCAACAAACAUGUUAGUAAUGUAUUUCUUGUAAAUAUCAAUAACAAUGAUGAGCUCAUCAAAUAUCGAGUUUCCAAGUAUUUCAUGUAUAUACAGAUAAUGAUUUCAUUUUGAUUUCAUAUGUUCUCAUGUUAGAAUUUCACCCGUUGAAUCGUUUGAAAUCUUGAUGGAUACUUGGGUAGUACACAUGAAGUGUACAAUACUAUAAAUCCGUCAAUUCAUAUUAGAGAGUGCUUUUACAAGCACAUAAACAGAAAGCUCUCUCUAAAGCCUAUAUAACUGGAUGCUCAUGUGAGCAUGUAACGGUAAGCUUAUCUGGUCUUAAUAACAUGAAACUCAUAAGAGCCAUAUUUAGAAUGCUCAUGCGAGCAUAUAACGGGUAGCUCUGAAGAGCACUUAACGAGUAGCUCAGAGUAGCACUUAACGGGUAGCUCCGAAGAGCACUUAAUUAGGAAGCACCGGAUAGCCAUAUUGAAGGAGGUUCAAGCAAGCAAUAACGGGAAGCUCACAAAGUGUAACACCCCUUACCCGUAUCCAACACCGGAAUAGGGUACGAGGCAUUACCAGAACACAUACACUUGUAAACGUGUUUAACCGAGUUAUAAAAUUCCAUCUAAAAAAAACUUUCAAAAUUAUUAGCAUGCUUCUAUAACUUUUCACAAUAUAUCCUCAAAAUAUUAUGAUCAUAAUAAUUAGGGCCUACGAGACCCGAUGCAUACUCAUGCAAUUCAAUGCUUCAUUUCCAUUUCAUUCAAUUUGCAAUUUCUCAUGCUCACAAUUUAAAUCAUAUCACUAGCAAUUUCCAUUUAAUUCACGUACAAUUCAAUGUCAUUAAGUUCAACACUAAUACGUAUUUACCAUUUACCUAAACAUUUAUCGAUUAUACCAUUCAUUAACACAUUUAUGAAAUUCUUAAUUUUGCAAUGAAAAUAUCACUUUAGCUUAAAUAACAACAUCAUCCUGGUAUAAAUGCACUACCACUUAUCCAUUUUCUAUAAUUCUUUUGNNNNNNNNNNNNNNNNNNNNNNNNNNNNNNNNNNNNNNNNNNNNNNNNNNNNNNNNNNNNNNNNNNNNNNNNNNNNNNNNNNNNNNNNNNNNNNNNNNNNACUUAUCACUUUGUCACUUGAUCAGAUAAGUGUAGCUAAAGCUAUCACUUAGCACUUUGUUACUUGAUCAGAUAAGUGUAGUUAAAGCUACCACUUAUCACUUUGUCACUUGAUCAGAUAAGUGUAGCUAAAGCUAUCACUUAUCACUUUGUUACUUGAUCAGAUAAGUGUAGUUAAAGCUACCACUUAUCACUUUGUCACUUGAUCAGAUAAGUGUAGCUAAAGCUACCACUUAUCAAUUUGCCACUUGUCACUGAUCAGAAGUACUCAAAUCCGGCGUUCCGCUUAAUUUGAUCAUUUAUUCAGUUUUCGUAUUUUUAUUUUAUUCUCAUUUCAUCAAUAAAUAUAUAUUUCACCAUACACUAUAUAAUUCAUGAAAUUAACAUUUAAUCGUUAAAUUUCAGCCAUAUGAACUUACUAUUUCAUUACCUUUCCACACCCGUUUCCUAUGCAUAUCACAAACAUAUUUCCAUUUAGGCUCUUAUUAUUUCAAUGCAUAACUUUUAGGUUUAACGUGGCAUAAUUUAGCCACAACUUAGCCAAAGCCUAAGCAUGUAUACCCAAUAUCUUAGCCAAAUAAACAUAUAGCAUAAGCAUUAUAAGCAUGGAUGAACACAAUAUUUAUUUUAAACUUACUAACAUGUGUUAAUUCAGUACCCAUUCAUGACAUCACUUCAUGCCAAAUCAUAUGCUAAAUAUACCAUACACACGUACUAUGAAACUUUAUUUUUCCACCUGAGCUCAAACCAUGACCAAUACUGCACAAAAUAUAUGCAUCAUUUCUAUUUCAUCAUUUAUCAAUUAUAAUCGAGCGUAUUACCAAUUAUACACAAAUAAUUCAUAUAUUUUCCAAUUUUUCCUCCUCCUCCUCUCCAUUCCACAUCCUUAAUGUAUAACACAUUUAAACAACAUUAUCCAUACUAUCACUAUUUUCCUGUAUAUAAAUUCGAUCUAUCCGUCUGAGUCAUUGUCACUAAUUUAUUUAUAUCUCGAGCUACAGAACUCCAAAUUAAGAUCUGUUAAUUUUCCCUGAAACUAGACUCACAUAUCUUCUUACCAUAAAAUUUUCAGAAUUUUUGGUUUAGCCAAUAAGUACAAUUUAUUCUUUAAAAUUUCCCCUAUUUCACUGUUUGACAGUUCCGACCCCUCUUCACUAAAAAUUAAUUAUCUCAUUGUACAGAAUUCAAAUAAUAUUCUCGUUUGUUUAUUUUGAAAAUAGACCAAGAUUCUAAACAUAUAAAGUUUAUCCCAUAUUUAUUUUUUUACAAUUUUUAAUGAUUUUCUAAAGUCAGAACAGGGGAGCUCGAAAUCAUUCUAACCUUGUCUCACAAAAUUAAUUAUAUCUCAUGAUUUUCAAUUCCAUUGCUUACACCAUUUCUUCUAUGAGAAACUAGACUGAAUAAGCUUUAAUUUCAUAUUUUAUUCAUCUUCUAAUUCAAUUUCCACAAUUUUUGGUGAUUUUUCAAAGUUAGACCACUGCUGCUGCCCAAAACAGUUUUAGUGUAAAAUAUUGAUUACCAAUUUGAUCCUAAACUUUUAAUACAUGACAGUUUCGUCCCAAGGCUCGGAAAAUGAAAUUCUUGCAAUAUAAUUGUAAUAGCCCGAUUUUAGGCCUAGUCGGAACAGUGGUUUCGGGACCACAAAUCCGACGAAAAAAAAAUGUAAUGGCUUGAAUUUUCAGAGGUGUCGGAACGGUGAUUCGAGAUCACUAAAUUCGACAAAUGGGUAGAAAAUAUUAUUAAUUUAGUAAGUAUAAGUUAAAUGUGAAGUUAGGAAAAUUUUUGAAAUAGUGAAUAGUGCACUAGAAAUAAAUAUUAAAAUAAUUAGAAUCGAAAUGAGGUAUCAAGACCUCGGGGAUUUUAAACCGAGCCAUAAAUAUUUUUAUAAAUAUUUAUGGAGUGUUAAAAAGUUAGUAUUAAAGUUUCGUUAAGAAAUUUUAAAGUUCCGAUAAUUAAUUGAACAAAAAGGACUAAAUUGUAACAAAUGCAAAAUUAUAGGAAAUGANNNNNNNNNNNNNNNNNNNNNNNNNNNNNNNNNNNNNNNNNNNNNNNNNNNNNNNNNNNNNNNNNNNNNNNNNNNNNNNNNNNNNNNNNNNNNNNNNNNNUAAGUUAGCGGUGUCUAUCUUUCCGAACAUUUUUCGGCAUUGUCAAUUCUUGACUAUUUCUUGAAAUUUUUGUAUUUUUAUGACUUUUACAACUAGGCCCACUUGUUAAAUUCAUUAGUUUUUGAUUUUAUGAAAGAAGUUGAAAGUUGAUAUGAAUAUGUGCUGGAAGUAUAUGAUGAUUUAUCAUGAAAUUAGAGCUUUAAAUUGUUCAUAUGCUGAUUUUAUUGAAAGAAUUGAAUAGAAAGUGAAUGUUUGGGACCUAAUAGUAAAAGAGUUUGAAGAUAGAGUUAUAUGUGGAAAUUCUGAAUUUCAAUAGUUGUGUAACAACUUAUAAUGCCUAGUAAAGUACUAAUAGAGAAAAUUAGAUUAAUUGAGGGGUUAAUUGAGAAAGGACCGAAUUGUAUAAACUGUGAAAUUUGGGGCAAAAUGGAAAUCAACAUUUUGCACUAAAGCAGUUUUGGACAGCAGCAGUAGUGUAAUUUUGAAAAAUCACCAAAAAUUGUAGAGAUUGAAUUAGAGGAUGAAUAAAAUAUGAAACUAAAGCUUAUUGAGUCUAGUUUUUUAUAGAAGAAACGAUGUGAGCAAUGGAAUUGUAAAUCAUGAGAUAUAAUAGAUUUUGUGAGACAAGGUCAGAAUGAAUUCGGGUUCCCCUGUUCUGACUUUGGAAAAUCAUUAAAAAUUGUACAAAAGUGAUUAUGAGUUAUAUUUUAUAUGGUUAGAAUCCUUAAUGAGUCUAUUUUUAGAAGAAACAAGCUAAAACAUCAUCCAAAUUCUGUACAAUGAGAUAAUUAAUUUUUAGUGAAGAGUGGUCGGAACUGUCAGACAGCGAAACAGGGGAAACUUUAAAGAAUAAACUGUACUAUUUGGCUGAACCAAAAAUUCUGAAAAUUUUAUGGUAUGAAUAUAUGUGAGUCUAGUUUCAGGGAAAAUUAACGGAUCUUAAUUUUGAGCUCUGUAGCUCCGGAUAAAAAUAAUUUAGUGACUCUGACUCGGAUAAACAGCUUUGAAUAUAUAUGUUAGUGAAUAUUGAAAUUAUGGUUAAUGUUGUUUAAGUGUGUUAUACACAUUAAGGAUGUGGAAUGGAGAGGAGGAGGAGGAAAAUUGAGAAAUAUAUGAAUGAUUUGUGUAUAAUUGGUCAUAUGUUUGAUUAUAAUUGAUAGAUGAUGAAAUAGAAAUGAUGCUUAAAUUUGUGCAUUAUUGGACAUGGUUUAAGCUCAUGUGUGAAAAUAAAGUUUCAUAGCAUGUGUGUAUGGUAUAUUCGGUAUAUGAUUUGGCAUGAAAUAAUGUCAUGAAUGGUUUAUCAUGUGGUUAGUUCCAAAAAGAGUUAUGUUUCAAUAUACUAGCUUGCAACUAUGGUUGAAUGAUAUGUUUAUAUCUUGUGUAAUGUGCAUAGGAAACAAGUGUGGAAGAUAAUGAAAUAGUAAGUUCAUAUGGCUGAAAUUUAAUGAUUAAAUGUUAAUUUCAUGAAUUAUACAAUGUAUGAUGAAAUGUAUUUAUUGUUGAAAUGAGAAUAAAAUAAAAAUGUGAAAAUCGAAUAAAUGAUCAAAUUAAGUGGAACGCCGGAUUUGAGUACUUCUGAUCAAGUGACAAAGUGAUAAGUGGUAGUUUUAGCUACACUUAUCUGAUCAAGUGACAAAGUGAUAAGUGGUUACACUUAUCUGAUCAAGUGACAAAGUGAUAAGUGCUAAACUUAUCUGAUCAAGAGACAAAGUGAUAAGUGGUAGCUUUAGCUACACUUAUCUGAUCAAGUGACAAAGUGAAGUGCUAAACUUAUCUGAUCAAGAGACAAAGUGAUAAGUGGUAGCUUUAGCUACACUUAUCUGAUCAAGAGACAAAGUGAUAAGUGGCUACACUUAUCUGAUCAAGAAACAAAGUGAUAAGUGGUUACACUUAUCUGAUCAAGAGACAAAGUGAUAAGUGGCUACACUUAUCUGAUCAAGUGAUAAAGUGAUAAGUGGUAGCUUCAGCUACACUUAUCUGAUCAAGUGGCAAAGUGAUAAGUGGUAGCCUAGCUACACUUAUCUGAUCAAGGACAAGUGAUAAGAGGUCAUAUGUCAAAGUGAAAGUGAAGUACUCAAUUUUCCGUAACCGUUCCCUAAUUUGAUUAAGGAUGGUAAGUGACAAAUGGGCCCAAAUGAAUUAAAGUAAAUGAAUAAGUGGUAGUGUAUUUAUACCAGGAUGAUGUUGUUAUUUAAGCUAAAGUGAUAUUUUCAUUGCAAAAUUAAGAAUUUCAUAAAUGUGUUAUUGAAUGAUAUAAUCGAUAAACGUUGAGUUAAAUGGUAAAUACGUAUUAGUGUUAAACUUAGUGACAUUGAAUUGUACGUGAAUUAAAUGGAAAUUGCUAGUGAUAUGAUCUAAAUUGUGAGCAUGAGAAAUUGCGAAUUAAAUGAAAUGGAAAUGAAGCAUUGAAUUGUAUGAGUAUGUACCGGGUCUCGUAGGCCCUAAUUAUUAUGAUUAUAAUAUUUUGAGGAUAUAUUGUGAAAAGUUAUAGAAACAUGUUAAUUAUUUUGAAAGUUUUAAUUUUGAUGAAAUUUUAUAACUCGGUUAAAUACGUUUACAAGUGUAUGUGUUUUGGUAAUGCCUCGUACCUUAUUCCGGUGUUGGAUACGGGUAAGGGGUGUUACAAUAAUCCUUGAUUCAAGACUAAUAAUUCUCAUACAUAUCAAUAACAGCCCAUGGAUUCCAUGAAAUUUCAGAAGUUAUCCAUAAUUUCAAUACUUUUCAAUUUAAUCCCUAAAAUAUGUUUUCAUCCAAAAUUCUUUAAUAAAACACCUUUAAACAUCCAUUAACAUCUCAAUUUCAUCAUCAAAUAACAAAAAUCAUAUGAACUUAUCAUUGGUCUCUUCCAAAACUUUCAACAAAAUGAGAAACUAGUAGAAUACUAAGUUGGACCUAAUUGUAAAAGUCUAAAAAUAUAAAAAUUUCAAGGAAAAAGCAGAAUUAAACUUACUUGAAGCCAAAAUAUGGAAUACCAGCUCCAAACCCUCUUCCUUGGCUG
rnacentral:lncRNA from 1 species